CUUAAUGUGGCAGAUUAGUGCAGUGAAUUUAAGCUUCAUUUAUAAAGAUUUAUCUUUCAUUAAGA
rnacentral:tRNA from 1 species